rnacentral:misc_RNA from 1 species
GAAAGGGGUAAUAUUGCUCCCAAGAUCAGUACUCUCAAACGGCAAUAUCCCAUGACCAGGCUUACGGAAACCAAAGGGAGUAGGAGAAAAAUCAAGAAAGUCUUCGACAUGCCAUCCAGGUAGCGUCUCAAUCAAGUAUUCUGAUAUACUGCUUGUGGAACCAAUCCCUUCAUUUAUUACCAGAUUAUCCCCAUCCUUGUUCACCACCGUCGUGUCUCUGGAUAAGGCCUUAUUCACUGUUGAGUUUGGAGAUGAGGUCUUAGCGAGUGAAGGCGGAUUAGAACUUGGGAGGGAGAAGGACACCGGUUUCUUCGUCGAUGACUGUUGUUGAGACUUGGAAUCAAAAACAAGAUCACCGCCGUUGGUUACAGAGGAGGAGGGUACAUAAAACGCAGAGGUGGCGGAGAGCUUAACCCCAGUAAGAAGGAACCUGUUAUGCUUCUGGGUAUGCUCGUUG